ACACUCCUACGGGAGGCAGCAGUGAGGAAUAUUGGACAAUGGGUGGAAGCCUGAUCCAGCCAUCCCGCGUGCAGGAAGACGGCCCUAUGGGUUGUAAACUGCUUUUAUCUGGGGAUAAACCUACUUACGUGUAAGUAGCUGAAGGUACCAGAAGAAUAAGCACCGGCUAACUCCGUGCCAGCAGCCGCGGUAAUACGGAGGGUGCAAGCGUUAUCCGGAUUUAUUGGGUUUAAAGGGUCCGUAGGCGGACUGAUAAGUCAGUGGUGAAAUCCGACAGCUUAACUGUCGAACUGCCAUUGAUACUGUUAGUCUUGAGUAAGGUUGAAGUGGCUGGAAUAAGUAGUGUAGCGGUGAAAUGCAUAGAUAUUACUUAGAACACCAAUUGCGAAGGCAGGUCACUAAGUCUUAACUGACGCUGAUGGACGAAAGCGUGGGGAGCGAACAGGAUUAGAAACCCUAGUAGUCCC
rnacentral:rRNA from 1 species